rnacentral:tRNA from 1 species
AUUUAUAUAGUUUAUAAAAACAUUACAUUUUCAAUGUAAAAAUAAAGAAAUAUCUUUUAUAAAUA